rnacentral:rRNA from 1 species
AUUGAACGCUGGCGGCAUGCCUUACACAUGCAAGUCGAACGGCAGCACGGGGCAACCUGGUGGCGAGUGGCGAACGGGUGAGUAAUGCAUCGGAACGUACCUUUCAGUGGGGGAUAACGUAGCGAAAGUUACGCUAAUACCGCAUAUUCUGUGAGCAGGAAAGCAGGGGCUCGCAAGACCUUGCGCUGAUUGAGCGGCCGAUGUCAGAUUAGCUAGUUGGUAAGGUAAAGGCGCACCAAGGCGACGAUCUGUAGAGGGUCUGAGAGGAUGAUCCGCCACACUGGAACUGAGACACGGUCCAGACUCCUACGGGAGGCAGCAGUGGGGAAUUUUGGACAAUGGGGGCAACCCUGAUCCAGCCAUGCCGCGUGAGUGAAGAAGGCCUUCGGGUUGUAAAGCUCUUUCGGCCGGGAAGAAAUCGCACGGGCUAAUACCCUGUGUGGAUGACGGUACCGGAAUAAGAAGCACCGGCUAACUACGUGCCAGCCGCCGCGGUAACAC